rnacentral:rRNA from 1 species
UACGGGGGGGCAAGCGUUGUUCGGAAUCACUGGGCGUAAAGGGUGCGUAGGCGGGUCUUUAAGUCAGGGGUGAAAUCCUGGAGCUCAACUCCAGAACUGCCUUGAUACUGAAGAUCUUGAGUUCGGGAGAGGUGAGUGGAACUGCGAGUGUAGAGGUGAAAUUCGUAGAUAUUCGCAAGAACACCAGUGGCGAAGGCGGCUCACUGGCCCGAUACUGACGCUGAGGCACGAAAGCGUGGGGAGCAAACAGG